rnacentral:rRNA from 1 species
UACGUAGGCAGCGAGCGUUGUUCGGAAUUACUGGGCGUAAAGCGCACGUAGGCGGUUCGUUAAGUCGGAUGUGAAAGCCCUCGGCUCAACUGAGGAAGUGCACCCGAAACUGGCGAGCUUGAGUACGAAAGAGGAUCGCGGAAUUCCCGGUGUAGAGGUGAAAUUCGCAGAUAUCGGGAAGAACACCCGUGGCGAAGGCGGUUCUCUGGGACGGUACUGGACGCUGAGGAGCGAAAAGCGUGGGGAGCGAACAGG